UCCCGGGGUAGGGCUAAAUUCCCAAUUUGUGCUUUCCUACUUUAUUCGUAUUUUCUUGCGAUGAUUUUUCAACGCGGCUGGAGGAGGAGGCAGCGUUGCUCAGUCCAAUAUUUUAAGCUCCAAUAUUCAAUGACAACAUGAUACGGAGAAAUUCCGAACUAGCUGCCGGCAUCUGGAAGCUGUGGCGAGGAAUUGAUGCUUCAAGCCAGGGAAUGGUCUAAAAAAUAACCUGCUUUAAUUCUCUUCACCCAAUGCAUUCCUAACGUCGUAUCGCACCGGUUCUCCUUUCAUGAGUUCAAGUUGGCAAGUAUCCGGUUACAUUGCUAUUUUUUUAUACUAGUAUCAAUGCAUUGAUUGGAGGAGCGCGGCCCGUUCAUCAAGCUGGCUCAGACCGAUGCUGUAUCGCUCGCCUUAGAAGCCUGCCUAGAUGCCCCACUUCCAUGAAGAUCAGCCAUGGCUUGUUGGACGCUCCAGAGGAACUGCAUGAAAAUAGUACGACCUGUCAGCUUCAACCCUCACGAAUUCCCGAAAAACGUUGUGACACUUUGCAAAACAAAUUCGAGCUCUCUUCUACGAUUUCGCCUUGCUUAUCUUUUUGAAAACGCUGCAGCUAUGAAGCUAAAGAAAGUUUUAUCAGCACCAAAAAAGGGGGUCCAGUGAUAGCGUGAAAACUUCGAGGAGAUCGUCGAAAGUUCUCACACGUCGCACUGAACAUGUACCAUAAAGACUGGGCGAAGUGUCUCAGUAACGGUAUUUUUUUUCCCCUGGAUAGGAUAAAUCAUACAAAAAUUGGACUGGCCAAUAAUCCUCACAACAGUGGUGCAAGUUGAGUUUCUCCAUCCCCACAAAUAACCAAAAUUCCGUGUCAGUUGCCGGCGCGUCCGGUCUUCCACCUCCUAGAUCCCUUGCUGGACAUAGUUGGCGAAGCUUCAUACUUCCGAGUCCAUAUGGAUCAGUUGGGUCAGCCCGACACGUGUUCAGUUAUCCAGGAGCAGAGCUUCUCUCCUGAAAGGAUGCGUUGGGUAAGUGGGAUGUGUGGGAUGCGUGGGGGUACCCGUUAUUUUUCGACUUGGGAACUCCUGCCUGAAGUCAAUUUGGGCCCCAUUGCUCCAUACUUCGAAAAUAAGCGAGCGACAAGCGGAGGGUAAGUUGACGAGGAGCCUUAUGCCCCUGGCCAUUGCUCGGAGAAGGGGACGAAUUCUGAGUGAGUUAAGCAGGACCGAUCGGAUAGCGGGCGAUGCUUGGUUGACACCCAUUGAUUCAUUCAGGGCAAUAUGGAUAAAACCAAGCAUUGGCUGAAGCUAACGAUAUUGAAAUUUACACUCUUAAGAGAGAAAGCUUCCAAUGACAAAAGCGAAUGUUAUUUUAUGCCGCCUUGUGAGUUAUGCUACCUCGCUUUACCGUGAUGUAUUUAUUAAAACUUCAAGGAAGCUCAAAAAAAAAAAAAUAGAAAAAAAAAUAGCUACAAAGCAACAGAGAAGGAGACCGUUUAUAACGAACGCUCAUACUCAACGAGUUCGCUAAACUCCUUUGUAUAGGCUGCUGCCAUCGCAUCAGUCGGCCUGGGCAGGGGCUUGCGAGCGAAUCCCCCGUAUCCCAAGUGUGACUCCAUGGCAGAUUUAAUCCCUACCACACCCCCCUGAAUAGCCGCCCAAUCGCCACGGGCCAAAAUUUCCUGAGCACUACGAGCCUCCUUGAGCUUUCCCUGAUAAUAUAGAUCCAUUACCCGUACGCAAGUCUUGGGCGCAAUAUUGGCGAUCCCCCCAAUAAUCCCUGAUCCACCACUGAUGAGAGUUUGUAUCGUAAAGUCUCCUGAACCACCAAGGCACAGGAACGGAGCUGGGACUGAGGCUUUGCUGUCCUGGGCAGCGGCGACGCGGGUUAAUUUCCCCGUGUUUCCGCAGGUAAAUUUACAGCCCACAAUAUUUGGGUGUUUGCUCAAUGCGAUGAUCGUGUCUGAGUCCAGAUCUAGACCUGAAACGGCAGCGGGAUAGUUAUAUAUGACAAUCGGGAGCGGAGAUGCAUCAGCUACGUCGCGGAAGAACUGAAGAAUCGAAUCUGAUAAAAGGAGUGCUUUGUAGUAAGAUGCAGCAAGGACGAGGGCGUAGUCAGCACCGGCUGCAUAUGCCUGGUGACAAAGCUUGAUAGUUUCCCGAGUAGACUGUGCACUGCAGCCAACGAUGAGGGGCAUGUUGGGAAACCCGGAGCUAUCUAGCGCCUUGCGAGUGGUUUCAAUGGCCGCAAUGCGUUCUUCGUUUGAUAGAUGUACUGCUUCGCCGUUCGAGCCGUGGACGGCCAGGCCGGUCACGCCAGCUUGUGCUAACCACACGGCAUGUUUGCUGAUUGUCUGGGUAUCGAGAUUCUCUGUUCCUUUUUCAAAAAAGCAUAUAGUUGGAACGUAUACACCUGGUUUUAGCGGGCGGCGGGGUCGGUCGCUGCUGCCAUUUUCGCUGACGUCCUUAUGAGCUGUGGACAUUGGAGACAUGUUGGCAAUCAAGGUGGAAAGGGUUUUUCAAUCGUUUUGUGAUGUCUUUUCUUCCUUUUUUAAAGAAGAGGUCGAGCUUGGGGUUUGAGCUUUGAAAGUACUCUUUCGGGUGGAGGGGUGCUUUAUGUGACGACGAAGAUACAACGAGAAUGUGGGCUGAAAGUUUGAAAGCCCACAGCUAAUAUUGGCUGUUCUGAAGGAAAACGGGAAAGCAGGAGCUAACAGCAGAAAUUCCAGAGAAGAUCUGCCCAAAAAACAGGCGGAGUGAAAAGAUGGAUUGAUCAAGGGGGGUCAUUCAUCACGAGCCAUUAUUCCUCAGGGGUUCAAUAGUUAAUGAAUUUUGGAGA
rnacentral:sRNA from 2 species